rnacentral:lncRNA from 10 species
GCCAUUAGUCCUGAUUCUUACUGUUUGUCAAUGCCGCUGAAAACUCUGAGCAUUGAAGCAGAUGAAAGAGAAAGUUCUACAAGCGGUUGGAAGAAAUGGGUGCUCUGGAGGUCAGGGCUGAAGUGAGGAGUUUUGAGAGUUGAGGUUCAGGCUGUGAGGAUUGUAUCUCUCCCCCAGCAAUCCUCUGCCAAGUGAGCCCUUUAUAUGCAAGGCAGUUUAUAUCUCACACACCUCUCUGUGCACCUUCUGUUUUUAACUCCCCAGGAGUAAAUUUUUCAGCCUCUUUCUUUAUAGCAAAUUACACCAUUAAUGUCAUCCUGGCGAAUGAAACAAGAGAAUAGUAUUUAUCAGAGAAAGUCUGGUGAGUUGAAGUCCAAGACCCCAGGAAACAACUAGCCCUGCUGGGCUGCCCCUCCUUCGGAGUGGGACUAUAUGAUCCUCAUCAGGCCAAUCCACGUCACAGAAUGGUCUAGGCAUUGGAUGAGUGCCUCAAUCUGAGCCAAUGAAGGUCAUUGCUGAGACAUUUUACUGGUUGCCAGGCUGCAGGCAUCCCAGGCUUCCUGCUGCCCUCAUGUCUACAACCUGUCGUCUGGAACAUUCCAGGAGCCACUUUUAUCACUUGCAGCAAUCUUCUUCAGUGAGUUCCCCAGGACUUGAUUUCAUCUUACAAUCUGAUUCCAUGUGUCUCCCAUAUUUUAAGGAUUCUUUAUUAUUUCUGGCUUACAGAGAACAAACAUUAUUUUUUGCUUUCCUGGUCUGUUCUAGAUUUUCAAAAAUAACUCUGUCACUUCUGUUAUAUGGUAUCAUUGCUUGUAAUUAUCUAUUUACUUAUCUGUCUCUGGACUGGACUCUUUACAGACAGGCAAUAACUAAUUAUCUGUCUGUCUGGCAUUUGGUAGUCAC